rnacentral:rRNA from 1 species
GCUUAAUACAUGCAAGUCGAGGGGCAGCGGGGUAGCAAUACCGCCGGCGACCGGCAAACGGGUGCGGAACACGUACAGAACCUUCCUUUAAGUGGGGAAUAGCCCAGAGAAAUUUGGAUUAAUACCCCGUAACAUUAUGUAGUGGCAUCAUUAUAUAAUUAUAGAUUUAUCGCUUAAAGAUGGCUGUGCGGCUGAUUAGGUAGUUGGCGGAGUAAUAGCCCACCAAGCCUGCAAUCAGUAACUGGUGUGAGAGCACGACCAGUCACACGGGCACUGAGACACGGGCCCGACUCCUACGGGAGGCAGCAGUAAGGAAUAUUGGUCAAUGGACGCAAGUCUGAACCAGCCAUGCCGCGUGAAGGAUGAAGGUCCUCAGGAUUGUAAACUUCUUUUAUCUGGGACGAAAAAAGGCCAUUCUUGGUCGACUGACGGUACCAGAGGAAUAAGCACCGGCUAACUCCGUGCCAGCAGCCGCGGUAAUACGGAGGGUGCAAGCGUUAUCCGGAUUCACUGGGUUUAAAGGGUGCGUAGGCGGGUAGGUAAGUCAGUGGUGAAAUCUUCGAGCUCAACUCGGAAAUUGCCGUUGAUACUAUUUAUCUUGAAUAUCGUUGAGGUUUGCGGAAUAUGUCAUGUAGCGGUGAAAUGCUUAGAGAUGACAUAGAACACCUAUUGCGAAGGCAGCAGGCUAAACGAACAUUGACGCUGAGGCACGAAAGCGUGGGGAUCAAACAGGAUUAGAUACCCUGGUAGUCCACGCCCUAAACGAUGAUUACUCGACAUCAGCGAUAUGACUGUUGGUGUCUGAGCGAAAGCAUUAAGUAAUCCAUCCUGGGAAC